rnacentral:rRNA from 1 species
UACAUGCAAGUCGAGCGGACAGAAGGGAGCUUGCUCCCGGAUGUUAGCGGCGGACGGGUGAGUAACACGUGGGUAACCUGCCUGUAAGACUGGGAUAACUCCGGGAAACCGGAGCUAAUACCGGAUAGUUCCUUGAACCGCAUGGUUCAAGGAUGAAAGACGGUUUCGGCUGUCACUUACAGAUGGACCCGCGGCGCAUUAGCUAGUUGGUGGGGUAAUGGCUCACCAAGGCGACGAUGCGUAGCCGACCUGAGAGGGUGAUCGGCCACACUGGGACUGAGACACGGCCCAGACUCCUACGGGAGGCAGCAGUAGGGAAUCUUCCGCAAUGGACGAAAGUCUGACGGAGCAACGCCGCGUGAGUGAUGAAGGUUUUCGGAUCGUAAAGCUCUGUUGUUAGGGAAGAACAAGUGCGAGAGUAACUGCUCGCACCUUGACGGUACCUAACCAGAAAGCCACGGCUAACUACGUGCCAGCAGCCGCGGUAAUACGUAGGUGGCAAGCGUUGUCCGGAAUUAUUGGGCGUAAAGGGCUCGCAGGCGGUUUCUUAAGUCUGAUGUGAAAGCCCCCGGCUCAACCGGGGAGGGUCAUUGGAAACUGGGAAACUUGAGUGCAGAAGAGGAGAGUGGAAUUCCACGUGUAGCGGUGAAAUGCGUAGAGAUGUGGAGGAACACCAGUGGCGAAGGCGACUCUCUGGUCUGUAACUGACGCUGAGGAGCGAAAGCGUGGGGAGCGAACAGGAUUAGAUACCCUGGUAGUCCACGCCGUAAACGAUGAGUGCUAAGUGUUAGGGGGUUUCCGCCCCUUAGUGCUGCAGCUAACGCAUUAAGCACUCCGCCUGGGGAGUACGGUCGCAAGACUGAAACUCAAAGGAAUUGACGGGGGCCCGCACAAGCGGUG